rnacentral:rRNA from 2 species
UCGUAACAAGGUUUCCGUAGGUGAACCUGCGGAGGGAUCAUU